rnacentral:lncRNA from 1 species
GAACCAUUAGGCCUACCUGAACACAUUAACACACAUGUAACACUUUGUAUUCAGGAGCAUGCCCUUGAUGAUAGUGCGCAUAUGGUGCAGCAUGUUUUGUUGUGGCAAGCUCGUGUUAUUUAUAUUUAAUUCCUAAAUGUAUUCAGGCUGUUUAAACAUGAAGACGCAUGCGUGUCUUCUCAAAGCCGGUCUCUUAUAGGAAAUGGCAUCCGCAGCUUUUACUUCCUGAACAACGUGGCCAAACCCACCGGGACGUUUACACCGAGGAGGCCGGCGAAACCGUAAACAAGUGUCACAUACUCUGACGCUCGCUUCUUCCAUGCAAAGCAGGAAGAAGACUCUUUUUCCCGUCCACCGCCCACUGUUAUUGAGUGGAAAUGUGACGUCUUGUGGCUGCAGGUGAGGAGACAUGUCGUAACAUGGGCGGAGAAUGUGAGCAGGUAGAAGCGCUGAGAGAGAGAGAGCUUCAGACACAUCCAGGAUCUGAUCUGUACCUACACGGACCUGCAGAGAGACACACACUUCUUCUGAUGCUGAAGGAGACCAGUCUUCCCACCAUGGAAACACAGGCAGAAAAACAAAGGCCUAACAACGGCCAGUUGAUUUUUGUGCCUCACAAGGAUACAAUCCGUCUGCUGGAGGUGUACGUCACGCGCAGCCUCAGCUUAAAUGACGGGACAUUGGGGCCCAGGAGGGCCAGGAGCAAAAACAAAUGGGUUACAAUGCCAAGAAAGCUAAGACGACACUCCAGCGACCCUUCCUUUUACUUGAAUGAUGGAAUAAACAACGAUGAGAAGAUUGGUACAUUUUAUCCGGGCGAACCUUCCCCAGAAGAGCCUGAGAAACGUCCUGAGGAAUCAGAGAAACCCACCAAAAAAUCAAAGAAGAACAAAAAGCCGUCCUUUUGGAAAAGUUUCCUCGGUUUUUUCUCUCGGAAAAGUAGCGAGGAGAAAGAUGAAGAGCAGGAAAGUCCACCAGAGAUGCCCGAGGACUCUGACGCGGUGAUCACCGGCCUGCCUCCAACUCCAGUCAAUUCACAAAAAAAACGGUCCAUGAGAAGGAGAUCCAUAAAAAGAAGGUUCUCCAAAAGGCGGCUAUCUCUGAUAAAACCAAAUAAACUUGUUAAAGAUCUCAAAUAUGAUGACAUCACUCGAGUUGAUUCUGUCGUCAGCGUGGAACCGACGCACCAUUACUUCGAGACGGUGUCGGAGGUACUGGAAAAUAUUGUCCACGAGGUCCAAGAAAAAGAGGAAGUCAAACCUCUCUCUGAUGAGGAAGUAAUAAACAGGAUCAUUGCUCUGACAAAAGUGGAGGGGGAUGCCAUCGACGACAAGCUGAAAGACAACCCCACCCUGAGCAACUUCUUCCAGGGGAUGUCGUACGCUUCCUUCCAGAAGUUGGCCGACGCGUAUCUGGAGACAGAAGCAUCGCCGAUCCACAGUCCUCCCACUGUCCUAGCGACGGCACCGGAGCUGGUGAAGUUGGCCUUCACGCUUGACUUUACAGCCAGGAUAGUCGGGCUCUCCAGACAGAAUAUAGGUCACAUCACCUGCCUGGGGAACCGUUAUCUAAAUGACCGAUUUGAAUACCAACAGGCAUGUACAGAUCAUCUGGACAGCGAUGACUGAGAGGAAGCAAGAACAGAACCACGCUGCACUUAAAGAGUUCGUCUCUUCUCGGCGCCACAGAUGUGGUGAAAGAUUGUGUUGCAAGCUUGAAUUUCCCCUUUUAACACAGCGGGCUACCUGAGACCAGCUUUAAGCUUGUAAACGACCAACCUUUCACCAUAUCGUUAGAUUUUUACUGUUCUGUGAUAGAAAGCUUGUGUACUUCUGCUGUAACAGGAUGUUUACUGAAAAAACUGUUGACUGACUUUGGUAGAUUUGAGUGUUGAUGGAAGAUCAAUUUAAAAAGUAGUUUCAGACUCACACUGAUGAUGCUGUUUACCAAUCCACCGUUGAGUUCUACUUUCUGUACGGCGAUUUGUAAUGAUGAACAAUGUAAUAACCUUUGUAUAUAAGCGGGACACCUCUGUGCAAUAUUUUAGUUAAAUUUCUAAGAAUUCAAAUUGAGCAAAGCUUUAUUUAAUAGACAAACUGAAAUGUGACAUGAUUAUGAUAUUGGUUUGUAUGGAUGCUGGCAUUCAUAUUACAAUCUCAAAUAAAAGAUAUUUAAUUCAAUGCUUAAGUUUGUUUGUUUUUUAUGAAACCAUAAGUCACUGUCAGGCUUUUCUCUUUGGUAACUUUGGUCUCUAGAACUGUGAAUAAAUUUAAAAUCAAGGCUUGCUAAUGGCCCUCUUGGCCUCACUCCAUGUGGAAAGUGUUCAUCAAGCACAAAGACUUUUAUUCCAAGACAUCCACUCCUACACUGGAAACCAAAUGGAGUCUCUGUUGUUAUGGCUGUUAGUAGUGCUGGUGUUUGUUUUCCAACCUGGGGUAGGGACCCCUG